GCGGUCGUGGUCUAGUGGCUAUGACGUCUGCUUCACACGCAGAAGAUCGCGAGUUCGAUCCUCGCCGACCGUA
rfam:Gregarina niphandrodes unplaced genomic scaffold scaffold00002, whole genome shotgun sequence.